CUGUUUUUGACACACACCUUUUUCUUAGUCAGCUGCUGCAAAUCAGUCAUCAUGAAAUCGGAAAUUCAUUGCAGAACAAGAUUCAGGAAUGAACACUGUAUUUGAGUGCAUAUCUCCUAUGCGUACGGCUUGAAAUUGUACAGACGCAACAGCUUGUCUGCAGAGAUCGAAACCAAAGGGGAAAGCACUGAAGCCCCAGUCUGCCAUGGAAAAUGCAGCAUUCAGACAUCUGUGACCAGUAUGUGUAGAGAAGAGAAGAUAAGGUGCAUAUCAAGUUUACAUCUGUGACAGGGGUCUUGGAGUUUCUAGUGACAGAUGAAUGAAUGCAUAUGAAGACUGACUGAGAAUUUUUUAAUUAAACCUUUGAUUUCCCCAGCAGUAUUUGCUCUCUACAGAACAUUUUCUGUUUCGAAGAAAAAGCUUACCGAAUUAUCCCCAAUACCCAAUGUCUAUUCCCAGUACCCUCCAUCCCCCCACCUCCCUUUUAAGAAAUGAGUAGCCUAUUCUUGACCAAAGACACUGUGUACACAUUAAAGACUCUCUGGAGAAAGCUCAGCCUGUUGGCCCACCAUGGAAGGUAAGAGGAGAACAGCAGUACCAGCCAGUAGCCCAGUAGGUGAGAUGAAUAAGGUAGAGUUUCAGCUUCAAAGUCCCAAGCAAGGCUCUUGAGUUUUACAGCUAGAAGUACAACCAGCUUUGUAUGGUCAGCAAUUCAUUUUAUCACUUUAGAAACUUUAGAAUAAAAAAUGCAAAUGCACCUUUGAUGUGCUGAUUACUUAGGGAUGUACAAAACCAUGAACAGUGGCGGUAAUGAAAUGUCUCCUGGGUGCCUUGGAACAUCACAGGAGGACCCAGGCGAGGUUCCCUAGGAAACCAGAGAUGCGCUCCAAAGCAUGUGCAAGCUUGGCCUGCUGACAGCCACUCAGUUGUGCUCCGAACAUCGCUGCUAGAAGAUCUGUAAUUCAAUUCCAGAGUGUAGUUGGUUGGACUAAUUGUGGAAAGCCUAAAGGAGGUUGGGAUAGAUUUUUUUCCUUGUUGCAUAAAUGUUCAGACCUCUAAAAGAAAGAAAAGACUGAUUGCUAGUUAUCCAAAACAAGGGGGAGAAAGAGAUGAAUAGUAUUUUCAAUUAAUCUAAGUAUUGAUCUUAGUCCCAGAUUCUCCUGGCCUAAAUUCCACAUAAAUCCCUGUGUCUACUGUUUUCCAUUGGCUGGCAACCCAAAGGCUUCUAAGUAAUUAUUCCAGAGAUGUGAGUGAGGCUCUCGGCACAGAGCCACUUGUGUACAACAGUGGUCAACACUAAGCAGUCAGAUUUACGUGGAAUUGAGUCCUGACAAAACUGGGCCUUAGGACUAGACUGUAAUCCAAGGGGCUUACAAAGGAAGAUGCCCACAAAUCUAUUGCUUGUCCUUCCCUCCUGACUUUUAGGCAAGGGAACCAAGUUAGCAUUUCCUGGAAAAUACAAUUUACCACCUUUCCUGAAACUUGCUCUUCUUCUGUAUCUCAGCACCUCCAACCCCACCCUCAUUGCAUUUGCUCAGCAGAGAGCUAAGACAUUAUGUGUGACCCAUGAGGGCAGUGUGAAGAGAUUAAUACAAUUAUAAUACUUUUGCAGCAUGAUUCCGAAUUAUUUUCAAAUACUUCAUCUGUUACCACAAGAACUGAAGACCCUUUCAAUAAGGGCAGAACAGUGGAAAUUCCCACACAGCUAUGAGAGACACAACACGUUUGAACUUCUUUCCAGUUGCACUUCUCUGACUUCUUUAGCACAAGACACUGGGGUCCCCCAAAGACUCAAAAGCAGUCAUAGCGAUUUCGAAAUGCUGUCUGUGACUCAGCAGUGAGUCCUUACCAAUGAUCUGUGGGUUAAAUGUUCUAAAGAUCAAGUAUUUGCAGAUGGGGAUGUCUGGAGUGGAAAAGGUCUGCCACGUAUGAACUUUCUUACAGAGUUUUCCAUGGACUGAAGAAGCAUUGCUCCUGAACUCCCAUGCCUUGGUAUGAGAUAGGGCAGACAGGUGUGGCUGUAACUCCAGCACAAGUAAUAAAUAUAUUUAGCAGCUAGAUUAGCAUAAUUGCUUGCCUAGUCAGCUCGCAUGCAAAGCACACAAACAAGUAUCAUAACAGUUUUAUUACAUGUACAUGCUUGUGUUUCCUUGACAUGUGAUAAAAACAAACAGAUCGGCAAUUUAAAAACAAGCAGUAAAAAAAAACCCUAAAAAAUGCAAUGAGUAAUUUAAAACAAAUGUUAAGAAAUUGUGUCUUUAAGAAAUCUUCUCCAAGCUGCACUCCAAUUAUAUUUAUGGACGUGAACAAAAAGAUAUUAUGACCACAUGUAUUACCAGUCACAAAAGCUUACAUAUAGGUAGCUUUUGUUUUGCUCCAUUAUGAAAUAUACUUCACUGCAGGAAUUUAUACUCUUCUGUGCAAAACCAUCAGGAAACAUUUUAAAUGUGUGACUGGUUGAGAAAUGUCCCCACCCAUUCUUUGUUCAUACAACAGAUAAAGAAUGUGCCUCUUAUUUCUCAAGUAGAGUAUUUAGUUCUUGCUAAUAAGAUUGUGCAGUGCCUUUUGAAGAUCUUGAGUAUUAGUGAAUUAUAACUGUUGUAAAUACAUUUUUAACAAUCUGCUAUAAUGUCACAAAUAUUACAUAAGCUACCUAGCAAGUUUGUUAGUCAAAGCAAAAUAGGUAAGACAACUUUGAUGUUACACCGAGACACACUCAGCUGUUCAGAGAAGAAAAAUCAUCUGUUGGAGUUUGUUCUUGUUACAAAUGGCACAUUGUGUAUGUUACAGUGAACAGUGGGAGCAGUGAGCAAGAUGUGACUGAAGCAGUCUGUCAAAUCCUCGGUUUGAUUCAUAAUAAUGGGGUUGCAUUGACAUGAGACUAAAAUACAGCAAAGCAUAUGUUCACUGUGAGUAACAUAGACUCAUUUACACAUUAUAGUAGUAUUAAAUAAACAGUCGCGAUUGUUUUCUAAAAUAGUUCUACAAUGAAUGUGGUUGUAGUACCACGGGCCAAAUACUGCUUUGCAGGCAGUGAUCAAAGAGAGAGAAAAAAAGCCUCAACCCUUCUUUUUCUUUUUUCCCCUUGGAUUUCCAGUCCUCAGACUGGUGGAGUGAAGGGAGUUGAAGCAGCAUACAUCUUCCUGCUGUGGGUCUGAAGAAAGACUAACCCUGGUCUUUCUCUGGAACAGAGAACAAGCACAACAGUGGCUUCAUGACAUAACUUUCUCAGUUUCAGCCCUCAAAGAAUCUGGUCCCUUUGAUUCUCAGAUUGUUUGCAGGAACAGGCUUGGUAGGACUUCAAGAAAACGUCGACAUAGUUACAGAAAUGGCAGCGACAAAUCCGUCUCAGCUAUAAAAUAGUUACUGCAGGAACACAGAGAAAUCCAUGCAUUUAUCCUGAGGACUCAUAACCCUUCCACAUUAAUGUUCUAAUUAGGAACCAGGACAUCCUAUUUCUUUUUUUUCUUUUUUAUAUUCUAGUUGUAAAUGGACAACAAAUGUUAUU